CCUACGGGAGGCAGCAGUAAGGAAUAUUGGUCAAUGGACGAAAGUCUGAACCAGCCAUGCCGCGUGAAGGAUGAAGGCCCUCUGGGUUGUAAACUUCUUUUAUCUGGGACGAAAAAAGCUCAUUCUUGAGCACUUGACGGUACCAGAGGAAUAAGCACCGGCUAACUCCGUGCCAGCAGCCGCGGUAAUACGGAGGGUGCAAGCGUUAUCCGGAUUCACUGGGUUUAAAGGGUGCGUAGGUGGGUCUGUAAGUCAGUGGUGAAAUCUCCGGGCUUAACUCGGAAACUGCCAUUGAUACUAUAGGCCUUGAAUCAUCUGGAGGUAAGCGGAAUAUGUCAUGUAGCGGUGAAAUGCUUAGAUAUGACAUAGAACACCAAUUGCGAAGGCAGCUUACUACGGGUGUAUUGACACUGAGGCACGAAAGCGUGGGGAUCAAACAGGAUUAGAUACCCUGGUAGUCCACGCCCUAAACCGAUGGAUACUCGACAUCAGCGAUACACUGUUGGUGUCUGAGCGAAAGCAUUAAGUAUCCCACCUGGGAAGUACGACCGCAAGGUUGAAACGUCAAAUGAAUUGACGG
rnacentral:rRNA from 1 species